rnacentral:rRNA from 1 species
UACGAAGUGUGCAAACGUUGCUCGGAAUUAUUUGGCGUAAAGCGCACGUAGGCGGCUUGGCAAGUCGGAUGUGAAAUCCCUCGGCUCAACCAAGGAAGUGCAUCCGAAACUGCCGAGCUUGAGUACUUAAGAGGAUCGCGGAAUUCCCGGUGUAGAGGUGAAAUUCGUAGAUAUCGGGAGGAACACCAGUGGCGAAGGCGGCGAUCUGGGAAGAUACUGACGCUGAGGUGCGAAAGCGUGGGGAGCAAACAGG